CAUAUCAAUAAGCGGAGGAAAAGAAACCAACAGGGAUUGCCCUAGUAACGGCGAGUGAAGCGGCAACAGCUCAAAUUUGAAAUCUGGCUCUUUCAGAGUCCGAGUUGUAAUUUGCAGAGGGCGCUUUGGCGUUGGCAGCGGUCCAAGUUCCUUGGAACAGGACGUCACAGAGGGUGAGAAUCCCGUACGUGGUCGCUGGCCUUCGCCGUGUAAAGCCCCUUCGACGAGUCGAGUUGUUUGGGAAUGCAGCUCUAAAUGGGAGGUAAAUUUCUUCUAAAGCUAAAUACUGGCCAGAGACCGAUAGCGCACAAGUAGAGUGAUCGAAAGAUGAAAAGCACUUUGGAAAGAGAGUCAAAUAGCACGUGAAAUUGUUGAAAGGGAAGCGCUUGCAGCCAGACUUGCCUGUAGUUGCUCAUCCGGGCUUUUGCCCGGUGCACUCUUCUGCGGGCAGGCCAGCAUCAGUUUGGGCGGUUGGAUAAAGGUCUCUGUCAUGUACCUCUCUUCGGGGAGGCCUUAUAGGGGAGACGUCAUGCAACCAGCCUGGACUGAGGUCCGCGCAUUUAUGCUAGGAUGCUGGCGUAAUGGCUGUAAGCGGCCCGUCUUGAAACACGGACCAAGGAGUCUAACAUCUAUGCGAGUGUUUGGGUGUCAAGCCCGAACGCGUAAUGAAAGUGAACGGAGGUGGGACCCCAUUAGGGUGCACCAUCGACCGAUCCUGAUGUCUUCGGAUGGAUUUGAGUAAGAGCAUGGCUGUUGGGACCCGAAAGAUGGUGAACUAUGCUUGAAUAGGGUGAAGCCAGAGGAAACUCUGGUGGAGGCUCGCAGCGGUUCUGACGUGCAAAUCGAUCGUCAAAUUUGGGCAUAGGGGGCGAAAGACUAAUCGAACUAUCUAGUAGCUGGUUCUGCGAG
rnacentral:rRNA from 1 species